CAAGCGAUCCUCCUGCUUCAGCCUCCCAAGUAGCUACGACUAUAGGCAUGUGCCACCAUGCCCAGCUAAUUUUUAAAAUUGUAGAAAUGGGGUCUCACUAUGUGGCCCAGGCUGAUCUCCUAGGCUCAAGUGAUACUCCUGCCUUAGCUUCCCAAAAAUGCUGGAAUUAUACUACUAACUUUUUUUGUCUAAUUUUUGUGCUGCUCAAUAAGAUGUGUGUAUAUAUAAUAUACAUAGAUACAAGUUUCAUAUCAUAUAAUCACUAGAUUUAUUUAUUCUGUAUACAAUUAUUGCAGUUUACUAUGUGUGGAGAAACCUUUAGACCAAACCUAAAUGAUGUAUGGAGUCAUCUUUAGGCCAAACUGAAUUCGGUUUAACCAUUGGUUGGGUUUUUUCCUCACUCACAUGGUCCUGGGAGGUAAGUCAGAAGGUAAAUGCAAAAUUUUGUCUGGACAGGAAUGUGAAUUAAGAGGGGAACAAGAAAAACCAAUACAGACUUUAUGUUUUCCUUUGGGCCUACAAUGAUAAAGUUCCGUAGUCAACUGCAGUUAGAGCCUUUUCUAAUGUCCGUGUGUGUAGAAAAAAUAAGGACCGCUCUAUGUCUCAAAGC
rnacentral:lncRNA from 1 species